rnacentral:rRNA from 1 species
AAAGAUUAAGCCAUGCAUGUCUAAGUUAAAGUAAAGUGAAACCGCGAAUGGCUCAUUACAUUAGUUAUGGUUCCUUAGAUCGCACUUACUACGUGUAAAGCUGUGGUAAUUGUAGAGCUAAUACAUGCACUGAGCUCCAACCCUCGUGGAAGGAGCGCUUUUAUUAGAUCAAAGCCAAUUGGGCCUUCGGGUCCGUACCGUUGGUGACUCUGAAUAACUUUGCUGAUCGCAUGGUCUCGUACUGGCGACGUAUCUUUCAAGUGUCUGCCUUAUCAACUAUCGAUGGUGGGUUAUGAGCCUACCAUGGUUG